rnacentral:lncRNA from 1 species
AUGUGUACGUAAGAUUCACUACUAGAAAAUUAAUUAUUAGUAAUAUUUAUUUACGCUGUUAAAAGAUCAACGAAUGUCGUUAAAAAUUUUAGCACUAAAUAUUGCUUAUGCAAAUAUUAGUAAAAAUAUAAUGAAUGCUGCCAAUGUAAAUCAAUUAGUGUCAUUAAAAAUAUGCAACUAAAAGAAAUUAAAUAUUAAUUUUAAAUUAUUUAUUAGUAGCACAUAUUUUAAUAUUUUUCAAGAAAAAUGUAGCAUGUUAUCCGCUUCAUUUAUUACUUUUAGAAAUAAACUUUGCUAGAAAUAUGAAUCAACUAGAAUUCGAAUUUGAGAUUUUGAGUAUCAAUCACCAAGCACUUUGCCGCUUGCGCUAGGGAUAAUCAGUUAUAUAUAUUUAAAUUUUUUUAAAUUUUAAUUCAUCAAUUUUAAAAUUUUAAAAUUCUAAAUUUUAAAUUCUAAAUUUAUAUACUAAAUNUGAAAUAAAUUUAUAAUUUUUAAUUUUUAAAUUUUAAAAUUAAAAAUUAAAAUUUUAAACUUUUAAAAUUUAAAUUAUAAGUUUAAUUUUUAAAAUUAUAAGUUUUGAAUUUUUAAAUUUUAAUUUCAAAAAUUUUUAAUUUUAAGUAGAAACGGGAUAUGAUAAUAAUUAUAUAUUGAUUAGUGACGACAUUUAGCAAUAGGUGCAGCUACUUUAUUAUAUUUAGACGGCGUUUACUAAUUUACGAUGCUAAUUUAUUCUAUUUUGUAAUAUUAAUAAUAAAUUACUGCUAAAUUAUUACAUAUAGUAAUAAUUAUCAAGUAAUGCUGGUAAAUAUAUUAAUUAGUAUGAUUUAAUUAAAUAUUGCAAAAUAAAUAUUGUGGCAUUUAGAAAUAAGCGCUGCUAUUUUGUUACAUUUAGUAUUAUUUUUUAUAGAAUACUGAAACUUUCAGCGGCAUUCAUUAAUUUACGCUGUUAAUUUAUCUUAUUUUGCAAUAUUAAUAGUAAAUUAUUACUAAAUUAUUAAAUUUAACAAUAAUUAUUAAAUUAUACUGUUAAAUAUAUUAAUUAAUAUAAUUUAAAUAAAUACCGUGAAGUAAAUGUAGAAAUAAGAU